AUACACUAUGGGGGUCUUCUUCGAGUGAACCAAAUAACAAAAUUAAUGCAAAUGUGAAACUAAACUAGGUCAGCUAGUCUUUCUCCUUUUGAAGGCAAGAUGCAUAAUUCCAUUGUACGAAUCAAGUUUGUCAACCAUUGACAUACAUUCAUUCAAUCUUUUCAAGAGGACUGGAAUGGUAGAGACGUUACUUGAAAUCUUUUGUUUGAGCAACUGUAUUUUCUUUGAAGUCUUAUGAUCUCCUUGAGCUAGCAAAACCCUAC
rnacentral:lncRNA from 1 species